UACGUAGGGGGCAAGCGUUGUCCGGAUUUAUUGGGCGUAAAGAGCGUGUAGGCGGCCAUACAGGUCCGUUGUGAAAACUCGAGGCUUAACCUCGAGACGUCGAUGGAAACCGUAUGGCUAGAGUCCGGAAGAGGAGAGUGGAAUUCCUGGUGUAGCGGUGAAAUGCGCAGAUAUCGGGAAGAACACCCGUGGCGAAGGCGGCUCUCUGGGACGGUACUGACGCUGAGACGCGAAAGCGUGGGGAGCGAACAGG
rnacentral:rRNA from 1 species